rnacentral:rRNA from 1 species
UAGGGAAUCUUCCACAAUGGGCGCAAGCCUGAUGGAGCAACACCGCGUGAGUGAAGAAGGGUUUCGGCUCGUAAAGCCCUGUUGUUGGAGAAGAACGUUCGUGAGAGUCACUGUUCCCGCAGUGACGGUAUCCAACCAGAAAGACACGGCUAACUAAGUGCCAGUGACCGCGGUAAUACGUAGGUGGCAAGCGUUAUCCGGAUUUAUUGGGCGUAAAGCGAGCGCAGGCGGUUGCUUAGGUCUGAUGUGAAAGCCUUCGGCUUAACCGAAGAAGUGCAUCGGAAACCGGGCGACUUGAGUGCAGAAGAGGACAGUGGAACUCCAUGUGUAGCGGUGGAAUGCGUAGAUAUAUGGAAGAACACCAGUGGCGAAGGCGGCUGUCUGGUCUGCAACUGACGCUGAGGCUCGAAAGCAUGGGUAGCGAACAGG